rnacentral:misc_RNA from 1 species
UUUCCGUAGGUGAACCUGCGGAAGGAUCAUUAUUGUAUAACCGAGGUGCGAGGGUUGUCGCUGACCCGACAGGUCGUGCACGCCCGAGUGCCCUCACACACAUCCAUCUCACCCCUAUGUGCACCACCGCGUGGGUCCCCCUUUGGCUUGUUCGGAGGGGGGCUUACGUUUUCACACAAACUUUGUAUGCAGUGUAGAAUGUAUUUUUUGUUUUUGCGAUCACGCAAUCAAUACAACUUUCAACAACGGAUCUCUUGGCUCUC